GCUGUGCUCACUUUGGCAGCGGGUAAAUUAGAACAAUAACAGAGAAGAUUAGCAUGGCCCCUGCGUAAGGAUGACACACAAAUUCAUGAAGUGUUCCAUGUUUGU
rfam:Otolemur garnettii contig120303, whole genome shotgun sequence.